rnacentral:rRNA from 1 species
AUGUCUUUCUCUAAGAUCUUUCAAAUUCUUUUCAUUGUUGAUUCAACCUUUAUAUUCUUCAUUAUUCCAGAGUGUCUCAACAAUUCAUGGUGGUGUUUCUCGUCGUCAUUCUUAGAUUUUGAAGACCAAAGAAGAGUUCCUCUUAAAUUCUUACCCGUUCUUCCAAAGAUGCCUAGCUCUAGCUUUAUACAAUCCUCUCAUAAUUGUUUUCGAUUGUGGGAAUUCUUUUCACCCAUCCGGAGCAAUUCAGGAGUAUUUUUCAGUUUGAUUCUUCGGAGCCCAUCAUCUCAAAAUUACUCAUUCCAUCAAAUACGUCUCCAACGUAUCUAUAAUUUUUGA